CAAUAAUAUUUCGCAGAGUUUUGAUUUUCAUAAAAUUUUCCUAUUAGAAGAAACCAAAACAAAAAUGCCAAAUUUUCUAUUAAAACUUAUAUUUUUUUACUUUAUUUGUAAAAACAAGUACAUGCUUCGCCCUGGGCGAGCGGCAACACAUGACGGACCUGCUUAUGAAUACGCAAAAUAUAUAUAUAUAGAUGUUGUAUAUGCUUAUAGUUUAAUAGACGUUACUUUCGAAUGAAGUCUCGCAUAUAUUCUGAGUGAGGAAAAUGGGCGAGUAAUGGAGAAUAAAAAAAUAAUACUCGGGAAAAAAUUCAACUAUGACGACGUAGGUUCUAUCACUCAAUCGUUCAACAAAUGCAGGACGGAGGAUGCCAAAUCUUGCCAACAUCGAUAACCAAACAUAAACUAAACAACAACCGAUUUCAGUUUGAUGUCUAAAGGCAUUUGUUGAGAUUUCUCAUACCCUGUGCGCGACCGAGAAGAAAAUUAAUUAAAAAAUUAUAUAAAUUAUUUUAUUGAUAGUUAAAAUUAAAAAUUAAAUAAAUUAAAU